CACAGUACAAAACCUGUUAAAAUAUUCUCUAAUCAUCUGUCUUAUCUUCUGCUAGUCUCUCCUAUCGCCUCUUUCUUUCUCUACAAAGUAUAGCCCCACUCCCACCACAGGGUGGUGUCCCUCUGUGACUUGAGCACUGUAGUCCUUCCCCUCAGCUGCAGUGCUUCACUCCGCAAAACAAGAAACAACAACAUGGGACUUUUCUAGUACAUUCCUUGGGAAACUUGGUAUGUCCUGCUUGAAAGAAAAGCCCAAAUAAGACUGCCAAGAUCAUCCAGAGGGACAGCCAGAACAGGAAGCCAGUCUAACUGCACUCUGAUGACACUGGCUUAUGAUGAACUGGAUUGAUUGCACAGCAGAUAGAAACUACUAUGUAACUGCCCAGGGUGAAGCAAGGAUUCAUCUCACAUUGAGGAAAUCUAUUUCCACCCAUGGCUCUCAGAAGCUGGUCUUCUGCUUGCUGUUGAGCCCAGAAGAUACCUUCAAAUUUUCAGGAAAGAAGAGAUGACUGGGAAAGUUUCCAGAAUGGUGGUUUUUGUAACAUCUGUAGCCUCAGAACUUAAGAAGAGCAAGCAUAAAAUGUGUUUUUGCAAAUGUUUUUCAUGGAUUUAAGACCUAAGCUGUUUAACAGAUUGUCUUGCUUAAGAAAUAUGACUUGUUUUAGCUGACAAGAUGGAUUUUAUGAACUGAUUGAUCCCAGCUGCCAAUUGUCAAAGCCAGAGGAUGUUCCAAAUUGGCAGUCCCCAAAGACCUGGAGUGGAUUGAUUUAAGGUGGGGAAAGGAAGAUUUGGAGGUGGAGAAAAUAGAGUUUUAUAAAACUAAUAUGAUUCUGAAAGUAUUUGAAACACAAAUAUCCAUUAGAACACACAAAAAGUUAAAAUAGUUCAAGCUUCAUUCUACUUUGUGAGCUGUUCUAAUACCUUCUAAGGCUGUAGGUGCCCUCUU
rnacentral:lncRNA from 10 species